UUGACCUCGGAUCAGGUAGGAAUACCCGCUGAACUUAAGCAUAUCAAUAAGCGGAGGAAAAGAAACCAACAGGGAUUGCCCUAGUAACGGCGAGUGAAGCGGCAACAGCUCAAAUUUGAAAUCUGGCUCUCGGGCCCGAGUUGUAAUUUGUAGAGGAUACUUUUGAUGCGGUGCCUUCCGAGUUCCCUGGAACGGGACGCCAUAGAGGGUGAGAGCCCCGUCUGGUUGGAUGCCAAAUCUCUGUAAAGUUCCUUCAACGAGUCGAGUAGUUUGGGAAUGCUGCUCUAAAUGGGAGGUAUAUGUCUUCUAAAGCUAAAUACCGGCCAGAGACCGAUAGCGCACAAGUAGAGUGAUCGAAAGAUGAAAAGCACUUUGAAAAGAGAGUUAAAAAGUACGUGAAAUUGUUGAAAGGGAAGCGUUUAUGACCAGACUUGGGCUUGGUUAAUCAUCUGGGGUUCUCCCCAGUGCACUUUUCCAGUCCAGGCCAGCAUCAGUUUUCCCCGGGGGAUAAAGGCGGCGGGAAUGUGGCUCUCUUCGGGGAGUGUUAUAGCCCACCGUGUAAUACCC
rnacentral:rRNA from 1 species